rnacentral:rRNA from 1 species
UCGAGAAGCUUCCGCAAUGGGCGAAAGCCUGACGGAGCGACGCCGCGUGAACGAAGAAGGUCCUAUGGAUUGUAAAGUUCUGUCAGAUUGGGAAGAAAACCUUACGGUUAAUACCCGUAAGGCUUGACGGUACCAUCAGAGGAAGCACCGGCUAACUCCGUGCCAGCAGCCGCGGUAAUACGGAGGGUGCAAGCGUUGUUCGGAUUCACUGGGUAUAAAGGGUGCGCAGGCGGCCUGUUAAGUCAGGGGUGAAAUAUGACGGCUCAACCGUCAAACUGCCCCUGAAACUGACAGGCUUGAGUCCGGGAGAGGUAGGUGGAAUUCCAGGUGUAGCGGUGAAAUGCGUAAAUAUCUGGAGGAACACCAGUGGCGAAGGCGGCCUACUGGCCCGGAACUGACGCUCAGGCACGAAAGCAUGGGGAGCGAACG